rnacentral:rRNA from 1 species
AUUGAACGCUGGCGGCAGGCCUAACACAUGCAAGUCGAGCGGAUGAAGGGAGCUUGCUCCUGGAUUCAGCGGCGGACGGGUGAGUAAUGCCUAGGAAUCUGCCUGGUAGUGGGGGAUAACGUCCGGAAACGGGCGCUAAUACCGCAUACGGCCUGAGGGAGAAAGUGGGGGAUCUUCGGACCUCACGCUAUCAGAUGAGCCUAGGUCGGAUUAGCUAGUUGGUGGGGUAAAGGCCUACCAAGGCGACGAUCCGUAACUGGUCUGAGAGGAUGAUCAGUCACACUGGAACUGAGACACGGGCCAGACUCCUACGGGAGGCAGCAGUGGGGAAUAUUGGACAAUGGGCGAAAGCCUGAUCCAGCCAUGCCGCGUGUGUGAAGAAGGUCUUCGGAUUGUAAAGCACUUUAAGUUGGGAGGAAGGGCAGUAAGUUCAUACCUUGCUGUUUUGACGUUACCAACAGAAUAAGCACCGGCUAACUUCGUG